CAAUCAACAAUUAGCAUCAUUAUUCCGGCAAAUUAUCACUACAACAAAAACGGUCUAUAGCGACACUUUUAAAUGUCGGUAUAGGUCAAAAAAAUGCUGCUGGCUAAAUUUACCGACACUUUUGAAAAAUGUUGCUAUAUGUGGGGUCGCUAGAUAUAUAGUGACAGUUAAAGAGUGUUGUUAUAAUCUAAAAGAGUGCUGCUAAUUUAUCAACAUUUAUUUAAGUAUCUAGCAACUGCCGGAACUCUAUCUCGUUGGCUGCGGUGGCAGAGGAGGACGAGAGGAAAUGAUCUUUGUCUAGGAUUUCAGUCGAUUGAGUGAGGGGAGAAGAAAAAAUGAUAAUCGAUUUUUCUUUUCUUUUUCUUUUCUGUUUGUAAUCGGGCCGAAUGGGCUAAGUGGAGUGGGUUGAGUAGAGUACCCUUUUAUUUUUAGUUGGAUUGGACUUUAUAUUUAGGCAUUAGUAGAAUUUUUUUAAAUUUUGGCAUAAAUGUGACACUUAUAUAAAAGUAUCUCAAACAUGUGUCACUAUAACCUAAUUCUGUUGUAGUGUAUUAAUAUAUAUUUUUUAUUUCAUUUAGCUAUCUACAAUUAGCAGGUCCUAAAUCAGUUAGAAAACCAAACAUCAGACUUUUGUCCUUUUUUUUAUUUUUUUCUCUUCCGUUUUUUAUCUUUUUAUAUAUUACUUUUAGGCAUAGCUAAAUUUAUUUACCCGAAUCAAUAAAGCAAAUAACAUGUUACACUUCUCUUUCAAAAGAAAAUAAUAAUAACUGCAUAAACUUAUUUCAUUAUUCGUAUAUAUAUUGUUCUGUGACUCAUAAACCAUCAUACUGAAUUGGAUAAGAUAAACAAAUUUUUCAAAUGUUAACUAAUUAAUUACCAUUUAGAAAUGCGACAAAUUUGAAUCUUUGAUAGCAAAACAAACCCAAAAUAGCAAAGCCAAGGAAGAACCAUUCACUUGCAUUAACUCAACUCAUGUGCAAUUCGAAAAAGUCUACUGUGUCACACUUACACCACAUCAUCAAUAACAAACCAAUCGUAUUUCUCCUUUUCAAAAAGAAAAGUACAAUAAAAAUAUUUUUUAUAAUUAUGAUGUAACAAAUAAUCUAAAUAAAAAGUUAUUUGAUUGAUCAGAGACGCCACAUCACUAAUAUAACUAAUAGAUUCUAGAAUUUUCCAUCACCC
rnacentral:lncRNA from 1 species